UUGAACGCUGGCGGCAUGCUUUACACAUGCAAGUCGAACGGCAGCGGGGGCUUCGGCCUGCCGGCGAGUGGCGAACGGGUGAGUAAUGCAUCGGAACGUACCCAGUCGUGGGGGAUAACUACGCGAAAGCGUGGCUAAUACCGCAUACGCCCUGAGGGGGAAAGCGGGGGACCUUCGGGCCUCGCGCGAUUGGAGCGGCUGAUGUCGGAUUAGCUGGUUGGUGGGGUAAAAGCUUACCAAGCCGACGAUCUGUAGCUGGUCUGAGAGGACGACCAGCCACACUGGGACUGAGACACGGCCCAGACUCCUACGGGAGGCAGCAGUGGGGAAUUUUGGACAAUGGGCGAAAGCCUGAUCCAGCCAUGCCGCGUGCAGGAUGAAGGCCUUCGGGUUGUAAACUGCUUUUGUACGGAACGAAAAAGUCUUCUCUAAUACAGGGGGCGAAUGACGGUACCGUAAGAAUAAGCACCGGCUAACUACGU
rnacentral:rRNA from 1 species